rnacentral:rRNA from 1 species
AUUGAACGCUGGCGGCAGGCCUAACACAUGCAAGUCGAGCGGAUGAUUGGAGCUUGCUCCAUGAUUCAGCGGCGGACGGGUGAGUAAUGCCUAGGAAUCUGCCUGGUAGUGGGGGACAACGUUUCGAAAGGAACGCUAAUACCGCAUGCGUCCUACGGGAGAAAGCAGGGGACCUUCGGGCCUUGCGCUAUCAGAUGAGCCUAGGUCGGAUUAGCUAGUAGGUGAGGUAAUGGCUCACCUAGGCGACGAUCCGUAACUGGUCUGAGAGGAUGAUCAGGCACACUGGAACUGAGACACGGUCCAGACUCCUACGGGAGGCAGCAGUGGGGAAUAUUGGACAAUGGGCGAAAGCCUGAUCCAGCCAUGCCGCGUGUGUGAAGAAGGUCUUCGGAUUGUAAAGCACUUUAAGUUGGGAGGAAGGGCAGUAAGUUAAUACCUUGCUGUUUUGACGUUACCAACAGAAUAAGCACCGGCUAACUUCGUGCCAGCAGCCGCCGUAAGAC